rnacentral:rRNA from 1 species
AUUGAACGCUGGCGGCGUGCUUAACACAUGCAAGUCGAUCGGUAACGCGGGGGCAACCCUGGCGACGAGAGGCGGACGGGUGAGGAACGCUUGGGAAUCUGCCCUUCAGCGGGGGACAACACGGGGAAACUCGUGCUAAUACCGCAUACGCUCCACGGAGGAAAGCCGGGGACCGCAAGGCCUGGCACUGAAGGAUGAGCCCAAGUCGGAUUAGCUAGUUGGCGGGGUAACGGCCCGCCAAGGCGACGAUCCGUAGCUGGUCUGAGAGGACGAUCAGCCACACUGGGACUGAGACACGGCCCAGACUCCUACGGGAGGCAGCAGUGGGGAAUAUUGGACAAUGGGGGAAACCCUGAUCCAGCGACGCCGCGUGGGUGAAGAAGGCCUGCGGGUUGUAAAGCCCUUUCGGUAGGGACGAAAGCUCUCGACCUAACACGUCGGGAGGUUGACUUAACCUACAAAAGAAGCACCGGCUAACUCUGUGCCAGCAGCCGCCUAAAAC